rnacentral:rRNA from 1 species
GUCCACGCCGUAAACGAUGAGUACUAGGUGUUGCGGGUAUUGACCCCUGCAGUGCCGCAGCUAACGCAUUAAGUACUCCGCCUGGGAAGUACGGUCGCAAGACUAAAACUCAAAGGAAUUGACGGGGCCCGCACAAGCGGUGGAGCAUGUGGUUUAAUUCGACGCAACGCGCAGAACCUUACCUGGUCUUGACAUCUACGGAACCCUCCCGAAAGGAGGGGUGCCUUUUCGGGGGAGCCGUAAGACAGGUGCUGCAUGGCUGUCGU